UACGAAGGGGGCUAGCGUUGCUCGGAAUUACUGGGCGUAAAGCGCACGUAGGCGGUUCUUUAAGUCGGGGGUGAAAUCCUGGAGCUCAACUCCAGAACUGCCUUCGAUACUGGAGAGCUCGAGUCCGGGAGAGGUGAGUGGAACUGCGAGUGUAGAGGUGAAAUUCGUAGAUAUUCGCAAGAACACCAGUGGCGAAGGCGGCGCACUGGCCCGGUACUGACGCUGAGGUGCGAAAGCGUGGGGAGCAAACAGG
rnacentral:rRNA from 1 species